GACGAACGCUGGCGGCGUGCUUAACACAUGCAAGUCGAACGGAAAGGCCCUGCUUUUGUGGUGUGCUCGAGUGGCGAACGGGUGAGUAACACGUGAGUAACCUGCCCUUGACUUUGGGAUAACUUCAGGAAACUGGGGCUAAUACCGGAUAUGAGCUCCUGCUGCAUGGUGGGGGUUGGAAAGUUUCGGCGGUUGGGGAUGGACUCGCGGCUUAUCAGCUUGUUGGUGGGGUAGUGGCUUACCAAGGCUUUGACGGGUAGCCGGCCUGAGAGGGUGACCGGCCACAUUGGGACUGAGAUACGGCCCAGACUCCUACGGGAGGCAGCAGUGGGGAAUAUUGCACAAUGGGCGGAAGCCUGAUGCAGCAACGCCGCGUGCGGGAUGACGGCCUUCGGGUUGUAAACCGCUUUCGCCUGUGACGAAGCGUGAGUGACGGUAAUUGGUAAAGAAGCACCGGCUAACUACGUG
rnacentral:rRNA from 1 species